rnacentral:rRNA from 1 species
GACGAACGCUGGCGGCGUGCCUAAUACAUGCAAGUUGAGCGCUGAAGGUUGGUACUUGUCCCGACUGGCUGAGCAGCGAACGGGUGGGUAACGCGUGGGGAAUCUGCCUUUGAGCGGGGGACAACAUUUGGAAACGAAUGCUAAUACCGCAUAAAAACUUUAAACACAAGUUUUAAGUUUGAAAGAUGCAAUUGCAUCACUCAAAGAUGAUCCCGCGUUGUAUUAGCUAGUUGGUGAGGUAAAGGCUCACCAAGGCGAUGAUACAUAGCCGACCUGAGAGGGUGAUCGGCCACAUUGGGACUGAGACACGGCCCAAACUCCUACGGGAGGCAGCAGUAGGGAAUCUUCGGCAAUGGACGAAAGUCUGACCGAGCAACGCCGCGUGAGUGAAGAAGGUUUUCGGAUCGUAAAACUCUGUUGGUAGAGAAGAACGUUGGUGAGAGUGGAAAGCUCAUCAAGUGACGGUAACUACCCAGAAAGGGACGGCUAACUACGUG